rnacentral:rRNA from 1 species
UACGUAGGGGGCAAGCGUUGUCCGGAAUUAUUGGGCGUAAAGAGCUCGUAGGCGGUCCGUCACGUCCGCUGUGAAAACCCAGGGCUCAACCCUGGGCUUGCAGUGGAUACGGGCAGACUAGAGGUAGGUAGGGGAGAAUGGAAUUCCCGGUGUAGCGGUGAAAUGCGCAGAUAUCAGGAGGAACACCGAUGGCGAAGGCAGCUCGCUGGGACGGUACUGACGCUGAGGACGAAAGCGUGGGGAGCAAACAGG